AGUCGACGGACUUACAUUGAAGCCUAGCGAUAUGUAAGUUAGUGGCGGACGGGUGAGUAACGCGUGGGUAACCUGCCUUGUACUGGGGGACAACAGUUGGAAACGACUGCUAAUACCGCAUAAGCGCACAGCUUCGCAUGAAGCAGUGUGAAAAACUCCGGUGGUACAAGAUGGACCCGCGUCUGAUUAGCUGGUUGGUGAGGUAACGGCCCACCAAGGCGACGAUCAGUAGCCGGCCUGAGAGGGUGAACGGCCACAUUGGGACUGAGACACGGCCCAAACUCCUACGGGAGGCAGCAGUGGGGAAUAUUGCACAAUGGGGGAAACCCUGAUGCAGCAACGCCGCGUGAGUGAAGAAGUAUUUCGGUAUGUAAAGCUCUAUCAGCAGGAAAGAAAAUGACGGUACCUGACUAAGAAGCCCCGGCUAACUACGUGCCAGCAGCCGCGGUAAUACGUAGGGGGCAAGCGUUAUCCGGAUUUACUGGGUGUAAAGGGAGUGUAGACGGUUUUGCAAGUCUGAAGUGAAAGCCCGGGGCUUAACCCCGGGACUGCUUUGGAAACUGUAGGACUAGAGUGCAGGAGAGGUAAGUGGAAUUCCUAGUGUAGCGGUGAAAUGCGUAGAUAUUAGGAGGAACACCAGUGGCGAAGGCGGCUUACUGGACUGUAACUGACGUUGAGGCUCGAAAGCGUGGGGAGCAAACAGGAUUAGAUACCCUAGUAGUCCACGCCGUAAACGAUGAUUACUAGGUGUUGGUGGGUAUGACCCAUCGGUGCCGCAGCAAACGCAAUAAGUAAUCCACCUGGGGG
rnacentral:rRNA from 1 species